GUUCGUCUUGAUCCCUCGUGAUGUCCAGCAUUCUUCUCUCAUAAAAAUAUCUGGAUCUUCAGCUGGUAAAUGGUUCAAGAGCCAGUGAAGUGGAUAACUGCGUCCGUCAGCUGUUUGUCAGAUGAGUCAUUGGUAGAACUGCAGCGAGAGAACGGGAGGAUGAUUAAAAGGAAGACAAAGAGCAUCCUGAUCAAAUAUUGUCAAGAAAGAUGGACGACAUGACAGCUCACCAAAAAGUGAAAUCAAGUCAUCUGAAUCACCCCCCUGGUGGCUGGUUGUAGUAUAGACCAUAAACCCUGCCUCCUCCAUGUUAUUGUAUAGGACAUUAGGGACAUGGGGCAAACUAAAAAGUCAAAAUACACCUUCAUUUCUUUUUGUUUGUAAUGGUUUCUGUCAUGUUAGCAUGAAUGUAAUUUGUCCUCACAUUGGUGUUCACAUGCUCACUUUUCAUACUAGGUUUGGUUUUAAUUAGUUAUUUGCUGCAAUAAAAUUGGGGUGAAACAUUAUGAUUGAUGGCUGAGAAUGACCCACAACUGGUGGAACAAAUGCAUCCAUGAGACUUGUCUUC